rnacentral:lncRNA from 1 species
UUCUCACAGCCCAAAUUAUUAAAUGUUUAUUUAAUUAAUUAAAUUAAUUAAAGUUUGUAUGAUAUUACACGUAUGCGGCUUCAGUUCCGUCUUCUUGUACUUUAACUAGAAAGGUAGUGAGUUGUGAAACUUGAAAUGGCUCCGUCAUUCAUAUGAGCAAGAGAAUGACUGGUUGAUUUUGUAGCCUGCUUCUUAUAUAUAUAUAUAUAUAUAUAUUGAUGAGUGCCUGCUUCUUAUAUUUGAAAUAGAACAAUCCAACUCUCAAGUGAAAACUUCACCACUUCCAUCAAAUAAUUCAAUACAUUUCUACUUCACCACCAUAUAAUCUAUUGUAUAUAUAUUUGAAUAGUUGUAUUAUAUUCGGUUUGUUUUUUCGGUUAUAAUUUCUAUUGGGGGCCUUGUUCCCACACUCUGAAUCGCAUCUUGAUGUUGUUAAUUUGUAGCGUCAUGAGAAUCAAAAGGUUCAUACAGCACAGCUCAUGAUCCCCAACCCUAGGAAAUUUCUGUAGGACAGCUUAUACAUGCCAGCCAAUCCCCAAACGAAUGAUAUGAACGAUGUCUAGAGAUUUCUGCAGUGGAAUAUCCAACAUCAUUUAUCGUGCAAAUGUCUGAGCCGCUGAGCCAGAGAACUCUUGAGACCCUUCCUUAGGCAUCAACUAACACGUCCUCCAUGUCUCAGAGGCCAGAUGCAAGUUUCUGCAACAGGAUGUCUGCAUAUUAACAUCCACUUUCCGUUGAAAGAAAAUGGACCAAGUAUAUAUAUUGAAAUCUUUUUGGGUUAUUUGAUUGUCCAUAUUGCUCGUUUGUGAAUU